rnacentral:rRNA from 1 species
GAUGAACGCUGGCGGCGUGCCUAAUACAUGCAAGUCGAGCGAACAGAUGAGGAGCUUGCUCCUCUGACGUUAGCGGCGGACGGGUGAGUAACACGUGGAUAACCUACCUAUAAGACUGGGAUAACUUCGGGAAACCGGAGCUAAUACCGGAUAAUAUAUUGAACCGCAUGGUUCAAUAGUGAAAGACGGUGUUGCUGUCACUUAUAGAUGGAUCCGCGCCGCAUUAGCUAGUUGGUAAGGUAACGGCUUACCAAGGCAACGAUGCGUAGCCGACCUGAGAGGGUGAUCGGCCACACUGGAACUGGGACACGGUCCAGACUCCUACGGGAGGCAGCAGUAGGGAAUCUUCCGCAAUGGGCGAAAGCUUGACGGAGCAACGCCGCGUGAGUGAUGAAGGUCUUCGGAUCGUAAAACUCUGUUAUUAGGGAAGAACAAAUGUGUAAGUAACUAUGCACGUCUUGACGGUACCUAAUCAGAAAGCCACGGCUAACUACGUG